CAACAGAUUCCAGCACCUCACGACACCAUGCAAGUUUUGCGGCUUCUUUGUGAACUUCACGGCUUCUGCGCGAAUAUGCAGAACUUGUCCUCUCUUUCUCGCCAAAAGCAACGAUGUGGGUUUCCUAGAAGACUAGUAGAAGAGUUGACAGCAUGCACGUCGUCUCUGGUAUCACACAGGAGUUUCUGGACCAUCCCUGACAACCCCGGAAUCUGCAUUCCGAAGCUUCAUCGACAAUCAUGACGAGAAAUGUGGCGACCUCUGACCCCCCAUUAUCGCCUGAUUCUAUUACCGACGUCAGUGGAGGCGUCGUACAACAGAGGGUGAAGCGAUGACGCCGGGAUGACAUACGUAACGACUGGUUGAGUUUGCGGGAUCAGGUGGCCACAUCUGCACUGCACAUGCCAAGAGUAUGGAGUAGAACAACCAUUGCACCUCUUCAACAAGCUUUGCUGCAACUGUAAGUCUA